GUGGGGAAUAUUGGGCAAUGGGGGCAACCCUGACCCAGCAACGCCGCGUGAGGGAAGAAGGUUUUCGGAUUGUAAACCUCUGUCCUAUGGGAAGAAGGAAGUGACGGUACCAUAGGAGGAAGCCCCGGCUAACUACGUGCCAGCAGCCGCGGUAAUACGUAGGGGGCGAGCGUUGUCCGGAAUUACUGGGCGUAAAGGGUGCGCAGGUGGCCUGACAAGUCAGAUGUGAAAUACCGAUGCUUAACGUCGGGGCUGCAUUUGAAACUAUGAGGCUGGAGUGCAGGAGAGGGAAGCGGAAUUCCUAGGGUAGCGGUGAAAUGCAUAGAUAUUAGGAGGAACACCAGUGGCGAAGGCGGCUUUCUGGACUGUAACUGACACUGAGGCACGAAAGCGUGGGGAGCAAACAGGAUUAGAAACCCCGGUAGUCC
rnacentral:rRNA from 1 species